GACGAACGCUGGCGGCGUGCUUAACACAUGCAAGUCGAACGGAAAGGCCCUGCUUUUGUGGGGUGCUCGAGUGGCGAACGGGUGAGUAACACGUGAGUAACCUGCCCUUGACUUUGGGAUAACUUCAGUAAACUGGGGCUAAUACCGGAUAGGAGCUCCUGCUGCAUGGUGGGGGUUGGAAAGUUUCGGCGGUUGGGGAUGGACUCGCGGCUUAUCAGCUUGUUGGUGGGGUAGUGGCUUACCAAGGCUUUGACGGGUAGCCGGCCUGAGAGGGUGACCGGCCACAUUGGGAAGGAGAUACGGCCCAGACUCCUACGGGAGGCAGGAGUGGGGAAUAUUGCACAAUGGGCGGAAGCCUGAUGCAGCAACGCCGCGUGCGGGAUGACGGCCUUCGGGUUGUAAACCGCUUUCGCCUGUGACGAAGCGUGAGUGACGGUAAUGGGUAAAGAAGCACCGGCUAACUACGUG
rnacentral:rRNA from 1 species